CUCUAGAGAUAGAGUGGAGGUUAUCCGGGAUACAGGUGGUGCAUGGUUGUCGUCAGCUCGUGUCGUGAGAUGUUGGGUUAAGUCCCGCAACGAGCGCAACCCUUGUCUUUAGUUACCAUCAUUCAGUUGGGGACUCUAGAGAGACUACCGGUGAUAAACCGGAGGAAGGUGGGGAUGACGUCAAAUCAUCAUGCCCCUUAUGGCCUGGGCUACAAACGUAAUACAAUGGCGUAUACAAAGGGAUGCGAAAGGGCGACCUGGAGCAAAACUCACAAAGUACGUCUCAGUUCAGAUUGGAGUCUGCAACUCGACUCCAUGAAGGCGGAAUCGCUAGUAAUCGCGGAUCAGCAUGCCGCGGUGAAUACGUUCCCGGGCCUU
rnacentral:rRNA from 1 species